GACAAAGGCUAAUGUUAAAGUAUUAUUGAUUUAUACCCACGUAUGGUGUACCGACGGGGCGACGGCCAACUAAUCGAUUUUUUAGUUAAUAUUUUUUCCGCUGAGCUUUGCUUUCUGACUCAUACCGAUUUCUAUAGACGAAGUGGGGCUUUAUCGUAUUCUCGUGUUGUGUGCUUACGUGUUAAGAUAAUAUAAUGGCCGAAAAAAGUUCUAAAUCCAGUAAGAAUUCCAAGAAAGUUGGAGUUCCAGAAAAUGAUGAACGCAAUCAGAAAUCCAGUGAAUGUACUCAACAAACCAAAUAUGUAUUUGGAAAACUUCCGGGCGAAAGAAUUUGUUCGCCAUAUGGCAUCGAUCCUGAUAUUGAUUGUGAAAUCGAUGAUGAGGGAGACGUACCAGAUUAUUUGAGUUACUCUAUAAUGCCAGACGAUUAUCUUGAUGAAGAUAACUCCAUACCAAAUGAUGAAAAGCCGUGAAAACAAUAUUUAAUACUUCACAUAAUGUUAAUUCCCUUACAUUUGGGAUCAUAAUUUUAUAUUCUUAUCAAAUUAAAUAAUUUUUUUUUUUUAUCUAAAAUCCCUACAUAUAAAAUCUCAUAUUGGUUGUAUGAUAAAAUAUUUUAAAUACAUCAUAUCUACAUUCAUACCAUAUAAUUCUUAUUAUAUGAACACGAAUCUGGUUAAGAGGACUAUUUGUUUUCUCCCACCGACUCAUGUGCAACAUAAAAAAAACGCAUUUGCGCAGAACUGUUUUUCCAUGUUUUUAAUUAAUUUUAAAAUAAUAUCACACAUUGCAAAAAGAGAUUGAGAAUAAUAUUUUUGAGAGAAUGAAAUAUUGAUUUGUCU
rnacentral:lncRNA from 1 species